AUUGAACGCUAGCGGGAUGCUUUACACAUGCAAGUCGAACGAGUGGCGGACGGGUGAGUAGUAGAUCGGAACGUGCCCAGCAGCGGGGGAUAACUACUAGAAAGAGUGGCUAAUGCUGCAUACGACUGGAGCGGCCGAUAUCGGAUUAGCUAGUUGGUGGGGUAAAGGCGCACCAAGGCAACGAUCCGUAGCUGGUUUGAGAGGACGACCAGCCACACUGGGACUGAGACAAGGCCCAGACUCCUACGGGAGGCAGCAGGGGGGAAUUUUGGGCAAUGGGGGGAACCCUGAUCCAGCCAUCCCGCGUGUAUGAGAAGGCCUUCGGGUUGUAAAGUCCUUUUGGCAGAGAAGCGGUAUCUGCAGAAUAAGCACCGGCUAACUACGGGCCAGCCGCCGCUGUAAUAC
rnacentral:rRNA from 1 species